UACGGGGGGGGCAAGCGUUGUUCGGAAUUACUGGGCGUAAAGGGCUCGUAGGUGGCCAACUAAGUCAGACGUGAAAUCCCUCGGCUUAACCGGGGAACUGCGUCUGAUACUGGAUGGCUUGAGUUCGGGAGAGGGAUGCGGAAUUCCAGGUGUAGCGGUGAAAUGCGUAGAUAUCAGGAGGAACACCAAUAGCGAAGGCAGCUCGCUGGGACGUUACUGACACUGAGGCGCGAAAGCGUGGGGAGCGAACAGG
rnacentral:rRNA from 1 species